CUUACAUGUAAAUAAAAAGGUUGUCCAACCACUUUGUGCAGGAUUGGGACGUGUUUUGUUUACAUCGAUUGGGCCAACUGUCUUCCAUUGUCUUCCAUCGCCAACUAUCGAAGCAUUGGCAUUACAGCUCUCUCUGACGCCUCGGACAAUGAUGUCGCUUCCCGUCUGGAUACUGAAACCCCUCAUCACUAGUUUCGUCAUCCAAAGCUGGAGAAUCGUUUUCAUGGUGUACGGAUUUAACGUCCUCAGACGUGCUGUUUCAGACGAGAAAUACAAGCACGUACAGUGGGCCAUUCCUCUUACCUUCAUAGUGACGCUAAUUCUUGAGCUUUUGCUGUACGUCAGUGGAGUCCACUUCGGAAUGGACAUGUGGUUCGUCAAAGCCACCGUGUCAAAAGUUCUUGAACUUUUGUUAUCGUUGAUAAGUCUGGUGGUCUCUCAAAUGAUGACUGACAAGUUUCACGCCGACAUACCAGUUGGGGAGAGGUUGUUUGCACACCUUGUUGUUCAAAACUGUUUGUCGUUCACUGUUGGUUGGGUUGCCAUGGAGACGAUGGUACAACUCGCCGUGAUGCUGGAGAAACUUCGGGAUGUGAGUUCUGAUGGACUUUGGACCAUGAUGCUCUUCGGCACCAUCAGCCAUAACGUGAUAUGGACUUAUGACGAAAACAUAAGGUGCCGUGAGCUGUGUCGAGUCGCCGUCACAACACACGUGCACGCCCCUGUCAUCAUGUUCAUGGCCUGGACACUGCCAAGUGUUCCUGAAGGUGUCACUUUGCACAUGGCACGUACGUGUUCUACUGUUGGUGACGGGUGUCCUUUUAGUCGUGCGCCUCGCCAAGGCCUUCACACAAAUCAAGGACUUCACAGUAGUGGCCCUCCCACACCAGAAAGGGUUGGUCCAGUCUCAGAAAGAGAUGGUUCCCCUGGCGAUGUACACCAAAACUACAUGACUUCAUUUCAGCACGUCAAACUUUGUUCAUAUUCCCAGUACUGUAGUGUAUGCAUUGUGCACCUGCUUGUUAUCGAAGCAUGGUAAUUACAUGAUUAUUCCUAAUUUCGAUGAAAUGAACCGUUUUGUGCAUAUUGUCAUGGUGGGUACUCUUGGUCCUUCCCCAAGACACACUCGAGUUGACGUUGAAUCAGAAAACAAAGUAGAUGAUAACAGAACACGCAGUAGCUAAGAUGUGUUUUACGUGAGAACUUAAGUUUUGUAAUUGUUCUUACAACUGUUUCUUAAUCUACCUGUCUUGCUCUCUUUUUUUCAUAAAAAGUAUUGCGACUUACACUGGCAGACAUCUGAAUUUAAGAAACCCUAUGACACCACCUGUAUGACGACAACUGUUAAUCUUGAAACGUUCGCGGUGGUUUAUUUUCUCCUUUAUUUUUGGCGAUGCAUUUCCACAGCUAAGUAAUACAAUCGUUGACUAGGUUUUACUAUGCUACAGUAUUGCUUCGACCGUAAACAUAGCGACAAAAUAUCAUUUCUUAUUGCUAACGAAAAAUUACAUCCCCGGGUGCCGGUAAAAAAUAAAUGAAUCUACAGUAGUAUACGUAACACUGGUAGUCUUAAUGCCGUAGAGAGGCGGAGGUAUAGUUGUGAUCGUUGUAAUCUGUAACACUGGCUGCAGCGUGAAUUUGAUCAUAAAUGCAUGUUGGAUGUGGUGUUUUCUAGACAUAUGAGUGAGGUUGGAAGUUCUAGUCCACCAAGAAAAUUAACUCAUCGAUGUCUUUGUGCGGUGUGCUCACACAAGCAUCGCCGAAUAUCGAUCAGCACACUGUUUUUGGUAUGAUA